rnacentral:pre_miRNA from 1 species
UGUUACGUCCAAGGCGUCGGUAAGUAAAUUAGGCGUCGACGCCUUGGACGUAGGAACC